UGUUCUUUUUCCUACUCCUUCCCACUCUCAUUUUCGCUUUUUCUCAUGAGAGUUUGGUGUCUCUUCCUUUCUUUCUUCUUCUCUUCUCUUCUCUUCCGGUUCACAUUUGGAUCGUAUGGGUAGAACACAACCAAAUUUCAGACUUCGGCCACAACUCAUCCAUAAGAAUGUCACGUAGAUUGAACACUAUUGUGAAGAUCAAUGACUCAAGAGAGACUUGGAACCAUGUUGAGGUCCCAAAGCCAUUAAUUGAAAUGGUCUUUAUGGACAACAAGGGUCAUAAAAUAGAGGCUUAUGUGAAGAGCAUGGAAAGCAAAAAUUGGUUAGCCCAGUUGAAAUAGGGUCAGACUUAUAUUGUGCAAAACUUUGAAGUAGAGUCAAACACUAGCCAAUAUAGGACCACAAAUCAUCAAUAGAGGAUAUUCCUGACAUACCUCAUUAUCCUUAUCAUUUUACUGAAUUUGGCCAAUCAUCAAUAAAGUUGUUUAUGCUGAUCAUUUAAUAGUUGUCUGAUUUCAUUGGCGAAUUGACAUAUUGCAAUGACAACUUUAGAAUGACCCAAAGAGAGUUGUUCUCAGUCUGAGGAAUGAAAGGGGUUGUACAAUUACAUGCAUUUUGUGGGGACCUUUUGCAAUGCAAUUGAAAGCAUGGACUAGCGUGAAAACAACCCUGAAUCUAUGGUUAUCUUACUACACCUGGCCAAAAUCAAAGAACCUAAAGGUAUUUUAAAGCAACAAUAUACUAUAGAGUAUUUGUUUUGAAAACACAGUAUGAAAACUAUAGUAUCAUAGGGUGUUUUUGUAAAAUACUCAUGUAGGAAAGUAUGCAGACUACCCUAUUGCCAUUCAAAACUCAAUGUAUGGCUUAAAGCUGUUCAUAAAUGAUAAUAUGAAAGAGGUUCAGGAGUUCAGAAAAGGUACCUGUUAGUUUCAGGGUUGACUUUAGAUUUGUUAUAAUUUAAUGAUGACUGUGUCCAUUUAAUAUAUGCAGUUUGGAAUCAAAUGAGAACAUUGUGGUUUCCUUCAGUCAGAAAAUUGUAACACUAUCUCAAAGUUCUCAAUUCAGCUCAGAAGUAAAGCUUGCCCAUAAUGUUGAGGUCAAAAGUUUAAGUGAGCUUGAUGACAUAAAAAAGCAAUGCAACCGUCUCACUGUUGCAACUACUAAAAAGCUAUUGGUAUACAAUGGUUGGAGCUUUAAAGGUUGUCCUAGAUGCAAUAGAAAACUGAAGAGACAAUGGAGCCAUACGCAUGUCCAGGCUGUAAGAAUAGGAAUGAGGGAAAAAUGCUUAGAUUCUGAUUGGAGGUCACAAUUACACACCAGCAACAUACUUUUACAUUCGUAUUAUGGAAUAAAGAAGCUACUCAACUGAUAAACCAAUCUGCUGCUGAUUUAAAAAAGCAAUUGAUUCAAAAUGAAGGUAAGUUUGAUCCAAAGUCUAUGCCUAAAGCCCUAGACAAUGUGUUGAAGAAACAAUUGGCAUUCAAAAUCAAGAUUGUUCCAAAUAGUAGCUGUUAUUCUGUUUUGGAAACAUCUCAAGAUUAAGAGAUAAUUAAAUCAGUGCUGCAAAAAAUUCUGAGUGUGUCCAAGACUGAGAUAGAAAAGUUAAUUUCCUCUUUGCCGAGGUUGGAUAACAUUGAUCUUAGUCAAACUGUUUUUGCAUCUCCCGACUUUGAUCCUGAAGUGCUAGAAGCUAUUAAACCUGCUAUGAGAUUAUCAAGUAAUUCACAAUUUGAUGAUACUUCGCUGGAGGAAUUAGCUUAUGUGCAGCUGUCUUCCUCAAAUUUAUCCAAACAAAUAAAAAAAUUAAUGAUUUAGUGUUUUAAGCAAGUAUCUUUUUGUUGUUAGUGUGAUCUAAAUAGCAAAUGUUGAUGGCUACAACAUGCAUUUUUUGGUUUUAGAAUGCCGAGAAACAGCUGGCAUAUAGAGCUUGAGUAGAAACUAUGUUUAAACUAGAAUAUAUACUUGCUAUGAGUUGUCCACUCCUUUUGGUUUGUAAUGUAUUUUAUAACAUGGUACAUAAACUUGUGUGAAAUCAUUAAGUAUGUGUGCUGAA